GCCAGCGGUUAGGCCGGGAACUCAAAGGAGACUGCCAGUGAUAAACUGGAGGAAGGUGGGGAUGACGUCAAGUCAUCAUGGCCCUUACGAGUAGGGCUACACACGUGCUACAAUGGCGCAUACAAAGAGAAGCGACCUCGCGAGAGCAAGCGGACCUCAUAAAGUGCGUCGUAGUCCGGAUUGGAGUCUGCAACUCGACUCCAUGAAGUCGGAAUCGCUAGUAAUCGUGGAUCAGAAUGCCAC
rnacentral:rRNA from 1 species